rnacentral:rRNA from 1 species
UACGUAGGGGGCAAGCGUUGUCCGGAAUCAUUGGGCGUAAGCGCGUGUAGGCGGCCCGAUAAGUCCGCUGUGAAAGUCCAAGGGCUCAACCCUGGAAUGCCGGUGGAUACUGUCGGCUCGAGUCCGGAAGAGGCGAGUGGAAUUCCUGGUGUAGCGGUGAAAUGCGCAGAUAUCAGGAGGAACACCGAGUGGCGAAGGCAGGUCUCUGGGCAGUAACUGACGCUGAGGAGCGAAAGCGUGGGAGCGAACAGG